rnacentral:rRNA from 1 species
UACGAAGGGGGCUAGCGUUGCUCGGAAUCACUGGGCGUAAAGGGUGCGUAGGCGGGUCUUUAAGUCAGGGGUGAAAUCCUGGAGCUCAACUCCAGAACUGUCCUUGAUACUGAAGAUCUUGAGUUCGGGAGAGGUGAGUGGAACUGCGAGUGUAGAGGUGAAAUUCGUAGAUAUUCGCAAGAACACCAGUGGCGAAGGCGGCUCACUGGCCCGAUACUGACGCUGAGGCACGAAAGCGUGGGGAGCGAACAGG